UACGUAGGGGGGCUAGCGUUGUCCGGAUUUAUUGGGCGUAAAGAGCGUGUAGGCGGCCAGGUAGGUCUGCUGUGAAAACUCGAGGCUCAACCUCGAGACGUCGGCGGAAACCAUCUGGCUAGAGUCCGGAAGAGGAGAGUGGAAUUCCUGGUGUAGCGGUGAAAUGCGUAGAUAUGUGGAGGAACACCGAUGGCGAAGGCAGCCCCCUGGGCUAGUACUGACGCUCAUGCACGAAAGCGUGGGGAGCAAACAGG
rnacentral:rRNA from 1 species